GCGAACGCUGGCGGCAGGCUUAAUACAUGCAAGUCGAGCGCCUGUAGCAAUACGGGAGCGGCAGACGGGAGAGUAACACGUGGGAACGUGCCCUUUGGUUAGGAACAACACAGGGAAACUUGUGCUAAUACCGAAUAAGCCCUUACGGGGAAAGAUUUAUUGCCAAAGGAUCGGCCCGCGUCUGAUUCGCUUGUUGGUGAGGUAAUGGCUCACCAAGGCGACGAUCAGUAGCUGGUCUGAGAGGAUGAUCAGCCUCAUUGGGACUGAGACACGGCCCAAACUCCUACGGGAGGCAGCAGUAGGGAAUAUUGGACAAUGGGCGCAAGCCUGAUCCAGCCAUGCCGCGUGAGUGAUGAAGGCCUUAGGGUUGUAAAGCUCUUUCGGCGGGGAAGAUAAUGACGGUACCCGCAUAAGAAGCCCCGGCUAACUUCGU
rnacentral:rRNA from 1 species